CACACCAUGGGAGUGGAUUGCACCAGAAGUGGGUGAGCCAACCUCGCAAGAGGAGGCAGCCCCCUAAGGUGUGCUUCAUGACUGGGGUG
rnacentral:rRNA from 1 species